GACGAACGCUGGCGGCGUGCCUAAUACAUGCAAGUAGAACGCACAGGAUGCACCGUAGUUUACUACACCGUAUUCUGUGAGUUGCGAACGGGUGAGUAACGCGUAGGUAACCUGCCUGGUAGCGGGGGAUAACUAUUGGAAACGAUAGCUAAUACCGUAUAAGAACAUUUACUGCAUGGUAGAUGUUUAAAAGGUGCAAGAGCAUCACUACCAGAUGGACCUGCGUUGUAUUAGCUAGUUGGUGAGGUAACGGCUCACCAAGGCAACGAUACAUAGCCGACCUGAGAGGGUGAUCGGCCACACUGGGACUGAGACACGGCCCAGACUCCUACGGGAGGCAGCAGUAGGGAAUCUUCGGCAAUGGGGGGAACCCUGACCGAGCAACGCCGCGUGAGUGAAGAAGGUUUUCGGAUCGUAAAGCUCUGUUGUUAAGGAAGAACGUGUGUGAGAGUGGAAAGUU
rnacentral:rRNA from 1 species